rnacentral:rRNA from 1 species
CCUACGGGAGGCAGCAGUGAGGAAUAUUGGUCAAUGGACGAAAGUCUGAACCAGCCAAGUAGCGUGAGGGAUGACUGCCCUCUGAGUUGUAACCUUCUUUUAUAUGGAAGUAAAAUGUUCCACGUGUGGAGUUUUGUAUGUACCAUAUGAAUAAGGAUCGCCGAACUCCGUGCCAGCAGCCGCGGUAAUACGGAGGAUCCGAGCGUUAUCCGGAUUUAUUGGGUUUAAAGGGAGCGUAGAUGGGUUGUUAAGUCAGUUGUGAAAGUUUGCGGCUCAACCGUAAAAUUGCAAUUGAUACUGGAAGUCUUGAGUACAGUAGAGGUAGGCGGAAUUCGUGGUGUAGCGGUGAAAUGCGUAGAUAUCACGAAGAACACCGAUUGCGAAGGCAGCUUACUAAACUGUAACUGACAUUGAGGCUCGAAAGUGUGGGUAGCAAACAGGAUUAGAUACCCGUGUAGUC